CCUACGGGAGGCAGCAGUAGGGAAUCUUCCACAAUGGGCGAAAGCCUGAUGGAGCAACGCCGCGUGGGUGAAGAAGGUCUUCGGAUCGUAAAACCCUGUUGUUAGAGAAGAAAGUUCGUGAGAGUAACUGUUCACGUUUCGACGUUAUCUAACCAGACAGCCACGGCUAACUACGUGCCAGCAGCCGCGGUAAUACGUAGGUGGCAAGCGUUAUCCGGAUUGAUUGGGCGUAAAGGGGACGCAGGCGGUCUUUUAAGUCUGAUGUGAAAGCCUUCGGCUUAACCGGAGUAGUGCAUUGGAAACUGGGAGACUUGAGUGCAGAAGAGGAGGGUGGAACUCCAGGUGUAGCGGUGAAAUGCGUAGAUAUAUGGAAGAACACCAGUGGCGAAGGCGGCUCUCUGGUCUGUAACUGACGCUGAGGUUCGAAAGCGUGGGUAGCAAACAGGAUUAGAUACCCCUGUAGUC
rnacentral:rRNA from 1 species